GCAGGCGAGAAACCUCCACAAUGUGGGCAACCACGAUGGGGGAACUCCAAGUGCCUAGACUUAUGUCUAGGCUGUUCUCGAGCCUAAAAAGCUCGAGAAGUAAGGGCCGGGUAAGACGGGUGCCAGCCGCCGCGGUAAUACCCGCGGCCCGAGUGGUGCUCAUUAUUAUUGAGCCUAAAGCGUCCGUAGCUGGCCAGGCAAAUCUCCGGGUAAAUCGGGCGGCCCAACCGUCCGAAUUCCGGAGACACUGCUUGGCUUGGGAUCGGGAGAGGGUGAAGGUACUCCCGGGGUAGGGGUAAAAUCCUGUAAUCCUGGGGGGACCACCAGUGGCGAAGGCGUUCACCUAGAACGAAUCCGACAGUGAGGGACGAAGCCCUAGGGCGCAAACGGGAUUAGAUACCCGCGUAGUCC
rnacentral:rRNA from 1 species